rnacentral:lncRNA from 1 species
AGGGACCAUUCAUAAGAUUGGAAGGAUCUAAAGGGGUUCCUAGGCUCAAGCAAUAAAGAUCAAAGUGUGCACAUCUAAUCCAAACCAUCAUCCACAAUUUCAAGUUCAUAGAGAAAGAAAGAAACCAACUUGGGGGGAAAACUCCCACAAUAACAAUGAUACUACAUGCUCAACUCAAACUGGUGCAACAACUUUUUUUUCUGUUUUCUUUACUUUUCUUUUUUUUUUCUUCUUUUUUUCUUUUUUUUUUUCUUUUUUUUUCUUUUCAGCAGCACCCUUUUUUUUUAUAUAUCCCCAAUCAACAUGCAAUCAUCAUUUACAAAAUAUCCCCACAAAUCAUCUCCCAAAUCCAAUCUGAAUUCACUGCCACUGUUUGGCCAAACGGAUCACAGAUCCUUAUCAUCUAGCACAAGACAGCAGUUUGGGCAAACGACACAUGUAAACACAGCUUAACUUUCUCUAGUAAUUAAUGGAAUGAAGUUCAAGAUUAGACAUGCAUUACUAGGCCAAAGAGAG